rnacentral:rRNA from 1 species
GAUGAACGCUGGCGGCGUGCCUAAUACAUGCAAGUCGAGCGAACAGACGAGGAGCUUGCUCCUCUGACGUUAGCGGCGGACGGGUGAGUAACACGUGUAUAACCUACCUAUAAGACUGGGAUAACUUCGGGAAACCGGAUCUAAUACCGGAUAAUAUAUUGAACCGCAUGGGUCAAUAGUGAAAGACGGUUUUGCUGUCACGUAUAGAUGGAUCCGCGCCGCAUUAGCUAGUUGGUAAGGUAACGGCUUACCAAGGCAACGAUGCGUAGCCGACCUGAGAGGGUGAUCGGCCACCCGGGAACUGAGACACGGUCAAGACUACUACGGGAGGCAGCAGUAGGGAAUCUUCCGCAAUGGGCGAAAGCCUGACGGAGCAACGCCGCGUGAGUGAUGAAGGUCUUCGGAUCGUAAAACUCUGUUAUGAGGGAAGAACAAAUGUGUAAGUAACUAUGCACGUCUUGACGGUACCUAAUCAGAAAGCCACGGCUAACUACGUG